rnacentral:tRNA from 1 species
GCAUCCAUGGCUGAAUGGUUAAAGCGCCCAACUCAUAAUUGGCAAAUUUGCGGGUUCAAUUCCUGCUGGAUGCCC